CCUACGGGAGGCAGCAGUGGGGAAUAUUGCACAAUGGGGGAAACCCUGAUGCAGCGACGCCGCGUGAAGGAAGAAGUAUUUCGGUAUGUAAACUUCUAUCAGCAGGGAAGAAAAUGACGGUACCUGACUAAGAAGCCCCGGCUAACUACGUGCCAGCAGCCGCGGUAAUACGUAGGGGGAAAGCGUUAGCCGGAUUUACUGGGUGUAAAGGGAGCGGAGGCGGCGGUGCAAGUCAGAAGUGAAAGCCCGGGGCUCAACUCCGGGACGGCUUUGGAAACUGUAGAGCUAGAGUGCAGGAGAGGCAAGUGGAAUUCCUAGUGUAGCGGUGAAAUGCGUAGAUAUUAGGAGGAACACCAGUGGCGAAGGCGGCUUGCUGGACUGUAAAUGACGCUGAGGCUCGAAAGCGUGGGGAGCAAACAGGAUUAGAUACCCGAGUAGUC
rnacentral:rRNA from 1 species